UACGUAGGGGGCAAGCGUUGUCCGGAAUCAUUGGGCGUAAAGAGCGUGUAGGCGGCCCGAUAAGUCCGCCGUGAAAGUCCAGGGCUCAACCCUGGAAUGCCGGUGGAAACUGUCGGGCUGGAGUCCGGAAGAGGCGAGUGGAAUUCCUGGUGUAGCGGUGAAAUGCGCAGAUAUCAGGAAGAACACCCGUGGCGAAGGCGGCUCUCUGGGGCGGUACUGACGCUGAGACGCGAAAGCGUGGGGAGCGAACAGG
rnacentral:rRNA from 1 species